AGAGUUUGAUCCUGGCUCAGGACGAACGCUGGCGGCGUGCCUAACACAUGCAAGUCGAACGAGGUCCAUCUGGUGGCAACACUGGUGAAGACCUAGUGGCGAACGGGUGAGUAACACGUGAGCAACCUGCCCCGAAGACCGGGAUAACCCCGGGAAACCGGAGCCAAUACCGGAUGUCCCCACCGGGUCGCAUGGCCUGGCGAGGAAAUGGAUUCCGCUUCGGGACGGGCUCGCGGCCUAUCAGCUUGUUGGUGGGGUAACGGCCUACCAAGGCUUCGACGGGUAGCUGGUCUGAGAGGACGAUCAGCCACACUGGGACUGAGACACGGCCCAGACUCCUACGGGAGGCAGCAGUGGGGAAUCUUGCGCAAUGGGCGAAAGCCUGACGCAGCAACGCCGCGUGAGGGACGAAGGCCUUCUGGGUUGUAAACCUCUUUCAGCAGGGACGAUUAUGACGGUACCUGCAGAAGAAGCCCCGGCCAACUACGUGCCAGCAGCCGCGGUAAUACGUAGGGGGCGAGCGUUGUCCGGAUUUAUUGGGCGUAAAGAGCUCGUAGGCGGCUUUGCAAGUCGCGUGUGAAAUCUCCAGGCUCAACCUGGAGAUGCCACGCGAUACUGCGAUGGCUAGAGUCCGGUAGGGGACCACGGAAUUCCUGGUGUAGCGGUGAAAUGCGCAGAUAUCAGGAAGAACACCAGUGGCGAAGGCGGUGGUCUGGGCCGGAACUGACGCUGAGGAGCGAAAGCGUGGGGAGCGAACAGGAUUAGAUACCCCUGUAGUCC
rnacentral:rRNA from 1 species